UCUUGAUAGAUGAUAGUUCAAUUAUCUAGAACAUUCUAAGGACUGGUUGGAAUCAGAGUAAGUUAGUGUGCAGAAAAAGAGGUCGGCCUCAUCUGCCAUGGGAGCUAAUGGAGCACAGAGGACUCCUGCAGAGUGAGUAUCUUCAUUGUCAUAAGAGUCGGUCACUUUGUGUCUCAAUGGACAAAGUUCGGGGGUUGGGUUUUUGUUUUGUCUUGUUGCUUCUUAAAAUUUUAAAUUUUUGAUUAGUUAAUACUUCUGUGCGAGACAGACAUUUUGAAUGAAAUUAAAUUGUUCCUGCUAAACACAGGUCCAGAUAGCCCCGAGGAAAGCAAACAACUGUGACAACCAGAGUAGCCCCAAUAUAAAUUAAAAUUGAUUGGCCUUGCUAAUAGGCUUAUAAUGACCCCAGGAGGAGACUAAAGUUUUGUGAGACAAGAGAUUGGAAUCGAUGAUGUGAGAGAAGCAAUAGAAACCCAAAGACAACUAAAAGAUAACUCAGCAAUGAAGAACACUUAGAUCUCUGGCUGUGGACCUGGAUUCAGUUUCCAGCAUCUGCAUCAGUAUGCGGGCAUUCCAGUUUCUAUGCUUGUUUUGUGGGGGUAGCAGCUCUGUCUCGGUGUGAGAAGAUACUUUACUGUGCUCUUGAUGGCCUCCCCCUCAUACCUGUUACCAUCCGCGUGUCUUCUUUGGAGAGAUGUCUAUCGUGGUCCUUGGCAAAGAUGGCUCAACAAAUGCAAACCAGUUGGACAUGUUAUGGUAACGGAAUGCAAGAUAGAAAUCCCAUGUUCUUCUACUAGAUAUAGAAGUGGCAUCUUGUAAAAUUCGGCCGCCCUUGUUGGAACAUGGUCAAAGACUGAGCAGUGGGGACCAAAGCCUUGGGGAGCUAUGAGAGAGGCUCCAGGGAAGAAGGCAGAGCCAUUACCUCGGGUGCAUUGGGCUCCCAGGGUUGUUCUUGGAUGUGAUCGCGCCUCCUGUGUUAAACAUUUACAGUGCAUGUACAAGACACGUUUAUUGGAUGUUGGAUGUUGGAACAUAGUUAUG